GAUAAACGCUGGCGGCGUGCUUCAGGCAUGCAAGUCGAACGGACACUACGGUGUCAGUGGCGGACGGGUGAGUAACACGUAAGUAACCUGCCCAGAAGUGGGGAAUAACUAGCCGAAAGGCUGGCUAAUACCGCAUGUUAUGGCUCUUCCCUGGAGGGGUCAUUAAAGGAUUUAUUCGCUUCUGGAGGGGCUUGCGGCCGAUUAGCUAGUUGGUGGGGUAAUGGCCUACCAAGGCUUCGAUCGGUAGCUGGUCUGAGAGGACGGUCAGCCACACGGGGACUGAGAUACGGCCCCGACUCCUACGGGAGGCAGCAGCUAGGAAUCUUGGGAAUGGGCGAAAGCCUGACCCAGCAACGCCGCGUGGGCGAUGAAGGCCUUCGGGUUGUAAAGCCCUUUUGCAGGGGAAGAUGAUGACGGUACCCUGCGAAUAAGCCACGGCUAACUACGUGCCAGCAGCCGCAGUAAGAC
rnacentral:rRNA from 1 species